rnacentral:rRNA from 1 species
AUUGAACGCUGGCGGCAGGCCUAACACAUGCAAGUCGAACGAGUGGCGGACGGGUGAGUAAUAUAUCGGAACGUACCGAGUAAUGGGGGAUAACCAAUCGAAAGAUUGGCUAAUACCGCAUAUUAUUCGAGCGGCCGAUAACUGAUUAGCUAGUUGGUGGGGUAAAGGCCUACCAAGGCGACGAUCAGUAGCGGGUCUGAGAGGACGAUCCGCCACACUGGGACUGAGACACGGCCCAGACUCCUACGGGAGGCAGCAGUGGGGAAUUUUGGACAAUGGGGGCAACCCUGAUCCAGCCAUGCCGCGUGUAUGAAGAAGGCCUUCGGGUUGUAAAGUACUUUUGUUAGGGAAGCGUUACCAACAGAAUAAGCACCGGCUAACUUCGUGCCAGCAGCCGCGGUAAUAC